UUGGAGGGCAAGUCUGGUGCCAGCAGCCGCGGUAAUUCCAGCUCCAAUAGCGUAUAUUAAAGUUGUUGCAGUUAAAAAGCUCGUAGUUGAAUUUCGGGAUCAAUAUUUCGGUCAUGCCGUUGGUAUGCACUGUUAUCAUUGAUUUCUCACCUUCUAAAGAACCGUAAUGCCAUUAAUUUGGUGUUACGGGGAAUUAGGACUGUUACCUUGAAAAAAUUUAAGUGUUUAAAGCAGGCUCACGCUUGAAUACAUUAGCAUGGAAUAAUGAAAUAGGACAUCCGAUUCUAUUUUGUUGGUUUCUAGGAUCGAUGUAAUGAUUAAUAGGGAUAGUUGGGGGCAUUAGUAUUCAAUUGUCAGAGGUGAAAUUCUUGGAUUUAUUGAAGACUAACUACUGCGAAAGCAUUUGCCAAGGAUGUUUUCAUUAAUCAAGAACGAAAGUUAGGGGAUCGAAGACGAUCAGAUACCGUCGUAGUCUUAACCAUAAACUAUGCCGACUAGGGAUCGGAUGAUGUUAAUUUUUUAAUGACUCAUUCGGCGCCUUACGGGAAAC
rnacentral:rRNA from 1 species